rnacentral:rRNA from 1 species
AUUGAACGCUGGCGGCAGGCCUAACACAUGCAAGUCGAACGAGUGGCGGACGGGUGAGUAAUGUCUGGGAAACUGCCUGAUGGAGGGGGAUAACUACUGGAAAAGGUAGCUAAUACCGCAUACCACCAGAGUUGCCCAUAUGGGUUUAGCUUUGUGGUGGGGUAACGGCUCACCAAGUCGACGAUCCCUUGCUGGUCUGAGAGGAUGACCAGCCACACUGGAACUGAGCCACGGUCCAGACUCCUACGGGAGGCAGCAGUGGGGAAUAUUGCACAAUGGGCGCAAGCCUGAUGCAGCCAUGCCGCGUGUAUGAAGAAGGCCUUCGGGUUGUAAAGUACUUUCAGCGGGGAGGCGUUACCCGCAGAAGAAGCACCGGCUAACUCCGUGCCAGCCGCCGCGGUAAUAC